rnacentral:rRNA from 1 species
CCUACGGGUGGCAGCAGUGGGGAAUCUUCGGCAAUGGGGGCAACCCUGAUCCAGCAAUGCCGCGUGAGUGAAGAAGGUCUUCGGAUCGUAAAGCCCUUUCGGUCGUGACGAUGAUGCCUGUAGCGUCUUAAUCAGCACCGGCAAACUUCGUGCCAGCAGCCGCGGUAAUACGACGGGUGAGCGCGUUGUUCGGAAUUAAUGGGUUUAAGGGGUGCGUAGGCGGAGUGUCAAGUCAGCGGUAAAAUUUCGGGGUUCAACCCCGUAGUGCCGUUGAAACUGACGCCCUUGAGUGAGUGAGAAGUGAGCGGAAUGCGUGGUGUAGCGGUGAAAUGCAUAGAUAUCACGCAGAACGCCGAUGGCGAAGGCAGCUUACCGGCGCGCAACUGACGCUGAGGCACGAAAGUGCGGGUAUCGAACAGGAUUAGAUACCCCAGUAGUC